GAAAUGCGAUACUUGGUGUGAAUUGCAGAAUCCCGUGAACCAUCGAGUCUUUGAACGCAAGUUGCGCCCGAAGCCAUUAGGCCGAGGGCACGCCUGCCUGGGUGUCACACAUCGUUUCCCCAACACCUAGUUGUCAUCGUUUAGGGCGUGGACUACCAGGGUAUCUAAUCCUGUU
rnacentral:misc_RNA from 1 species